rnacentral:rRNA from 1 species
UGGGGAAUAUUGGACAAUGGGCGAAAGCCUGAUCCAGCCAUGCCGCGUGUGUGAAGAAGGUCUUCGGAUUGUAAAGCACUUUAAGUUGGGAGGAAGGGCAUUAACCUAAUACGUUAGUGUUUUGACGUUACCGACAGAAUAAGCACCGGCUAACUCUGUGCCAGCAGCCGCGGUAAUACAGAGGGUGCAAGCGUUAAUCGGAAUUACUGGGCGUAAAGCGCGCGUAGGUGGUUUGUUAAGUUGGAUGUGAAAUCCCCGGGCUCAACCUGGGAACUGCAUUCAAAACUGACUGACUAGAGUAUGGUAGAGGGUGGUGGAAUUUCCUGUGUAGCGGUGAAAUGCGUAGAUAUAGGAAGGAACACCAGUGGCGAAGGCGACGACCUGGACUAAUACUGACACUGAGGUGCGAAAGCGUGGGGAGCAAACA